GUGCUCUGAAAACUAUUAAUAUGGUGCCGAGAGAACGGGUUCCCCCCAGAUCCACAGGCCGCUUUUAAGCUGCAGGACCCGCUGAGAUCAGGGCUCCCUAGGGCCCCCGGGGAAUUUUCCUGGAGGGACCCCUCCACUCACUCAGAUCACUGCAGGAGCAGACAAGGACCAUCUUUACGAAGAUACAGGAACCAGAUGGAUACCAGCCAAGUGGGUAAAGCCAUGGCAAGAAAAGUUGCAUGACCCACCUGAAAACACCCCAGCACCUAAGGACUCCAUGCCAUAACUGUGGAACUCGGGAGCCUUGGAGUUUGUGUGUUUGUGAGUAUUGUGGGGUCAGAUGGUAUUGUCGAAGUUCUAGGGCAUGCGCGGGGUAGGUGGUUAUCAGUCACAAUGGUUCAAGGGAUGUGCUGUAUGAAUCUCUUUGACCAUUCGGAGUCAAUUCAUAAAAGUCUCAAGGAGAUAAAAGGCAACAUGAACAAACGAACGGUGGUCAAUUCAGGUUUAGAUAAGUGGUUAAGGGGUUGGGGCAUAAUGGGAUGGCUUUUAGAUCUUUGUAAAAAAGGCAUUGUAACUUUAAGUAUAAUUGCGAUUGUAUUGUUAAUCGUUCCCUGCAUCUUAAAGGGAGUGUCUAACAUGAUUACUAAUUCCUUGAAGAAAGUUUGGCUGGUUCAAAGAGAAAAAGGGGGAAUUGUGGGGUUGUAUUUGGAGGACAGUGGACAUGUGAUGAACCAGCCAUAUGAGGGCCUCUUCUAAGCAUGCAGCCACAUACCAAGAAGAAGAUAAGAGGAUGUGAACCAGCCAUCAGAGAGCUUCUUCUAAACACGUGGCCGCAUACCAAGAAGAAAAUAAGAGGAAGAAAACAUCUGCAGUCGGAUACAUGGGAAGAACACCAGGAAUUAGGUGAUCCAAUAAGGACACUUACCGAGCUGCGUGAUUGCCUUGUGCAAGAGGGCUUUUACCAAUGAAAAGGCGCAUGACCGCAUGUAGAGAUAGAAAACUCUGUAUAUAAAGGGAUCGUGGGAACAAUAAAGUGGCUUCUGCUUAAU